GACGAACGCUGGCGGCGCGCCUAACACAUGCAAGUCGAACGGAGCUGAGAGAAGCUUGCUUUUCUUAGCUUAGUGGCGAACGGGUGAGUAACGCGUGAGUAACCUGCCCUGGAGUGGGGGACAACAGUUGGAAACGACUGCUAAUACCGCAGAAGCCCACGAUCCGGCAUCGGAUUGAGGGAAAAGGAUUUAUUCGCUUCAGGAUGGACUCGCGUCCAAUUAGCUAGUUGGUGAGGUAACGGCCCACCAAGGCGACGAUUGGUAGCCGAACUGAGAGGUUGAACGGCCACAUUGGGACUGAGACACGGCCCAGACUCCUACGGGAGGCAGCAGUGGGGGAUAUUGCACAAUGGGGGAAACCCUGAUGCAGCGACGCCGCGUGGAGGAAGAAGGUUUUCGGAUUGUAAACUCCUGUCGUUAGGGACGAUAAUGACGGUACCUAACAAGAAAGCACCGGCUAACUACGUG
rnacentral:rRNA from 1 species